rnacentral:rRNA from 1 species
GAUGAACGCUAGCUACAGGCUUAACACAUGCAAGUCGAGGGGCAGCACAGUGUAGCAAUACAUGGGUGGCGACCGGCGCACGGGUGCGUAACGCGUAUCCAACCUUCCCGUUACUCUUGGAUAGCCUUCCGAAAGGGGAGAUUAAUACAAGAUGGUAUUCAAAUUCCGCAUGUUAUUUGAAUUAAAGAUUUAUCGGUAACGGAUGGGGAUGCGUGACAUUAGAUAGUAGGCGGGGUAACGGCCCACCUAGUCUACGAUGUCUAGGGGUUCUGAGAGGAAGGUCCCCCACACUGGAACUGAGACACGGUCCAGACUCCUACGGGAGGCAGCAGUGAGGAAUAUUGGUCAAUGGGCGGAAGCCUGAACCAGCCAAGUAGCGUGCAGGAUGACGGCCCUACGGGUUGUAAACUUCUUUUGUUCGGGAAUAAAGUGCGGCACGCGUGCCGUUUUGUAUGUACCGUUCGAAUAAGCAUCGGCUAAUUCCGUG